GCAGUGGUGGUUCAGUGGUAAAAUUCUUGCCCUCCAUGCAGAAGACCGAGGUUCGAGUUCUGGCCAAUGCA
rnacentral:tRNA from 1 species